CACGCCAGCGCGCCGCCGCCCGCCCUCGAUGUGAUCGACGCCGACGAGGUUCCGUCAUCGACAUAUAUCUCGACAAGGUACUAGGUGAGAGGAACGUUCCCAUCAGGCCAAACAGCGAGAGGAACAAUUCCAUCAGGCUAAAUGUCAAGCAGCAGCCAUGCCUGACGCAUACGACAUCAUGCCUUGCCGAGUGGUACUGUCGAUUCAACUCGGAUGCAGCAGUACACACGUACUCUCCUCUUUCUGAUCAGGAAUGCGGUGAAGGCAGGUGCUCUAAUAAGGUGAAAGGUAUAUCCGUAUAUGAUGGAUUUCCCAGUUGAACACUCCAAAAAAUCAAUCUUGCAGCUAAGUAUUCUUGGCGUAGUUUAUUCCCAGUUUUUCAUUCAAGGAUCAAUCUCAUUUGUUUCUUUUAACAUAUAAACUAAAAUGCCACAAAAUUGCCCUGUUGUUAAAUUUUCGGACAUGUUUUCUUUCUUCGUAACAUAUUCAAUGUCUAAUCAGAAGGUACACAUGAAUGCAUUCUUUGUCUUUUCACUUUGAGGGCCUCCCCGCAUUUUUUUAGCAACACACACACACACACACACACACUCAUGUUAAGUGCCAAGGUUUAACUGAAUUGCCUUGUGAUCCGGUUUCUCGACGGGCCAAUCAUGAUUCAUAGGAAUGGACAUUUACGCCGUAGUGAAGUACACACAUUAUGUUUGACACAAUUGAUCUUGUGGUACUAAACUUUUAUGCCCAGUAAGUAUACACCAAGGUCCCCGCAAGGGCACGAGUAGCAUUGAAGUUUUGAUCCACCACUUCCGUUGAGCAAUCCCGGUGUGUUAAGAACAGUGAUAUAACUUUGUCUUUGAUGAUUUAUUGCGAUGCUUUCCUUUUUUCACGGAAUUACCAGAAAUACGAAAGGGAGAAGUCAAAGCUUGUGAAGAAAUGUAGCACUUCCAAGUUGUUGGCCGAUGAUGAUGAUGAUAAGAUUGACAACCACAUGACGAGCUCGCCGAGUGCAUCCUCUAAGGGUAUGAAGCAUUUUCGGAGGAAGACUGAAGACCAAGAGGAUGGGAAUGAUGAUGGAAACAAUAGCAAAUAUUUACGAGAGGAGUCCAAAGGAGAACACAAUAAAUGGAUAAUGAAGGCGGUGUGGACACUCUUGAUGUAUGCCAUUCUUUCUUGGAUCUGAUCUUUUUUAUACAUAAAAACACAUAGGUAUGGAAUAGUCAAUUAAAAUGUACAACAUCGCCUUGCCCAAAAAACAAGUUUUGAUGCGUCUUAUUUUAGGUCAACAUCAAGUGUAUUUUUGUUAAUUUAGAUAUUGUUGCUUGGAUUGGGGAGAUGGACAGGCUAAGAUAGUGAGUGUAGGAAGAAGACUGGUGUAAUGAAAAGUUGACAAUGCAUCUGAUAUGCAUGAGGAUAUAAUCAAUGUUAAACCACUA